rnacentral:rRNA from 1 species
CGGAGAGUUUGAUCCUGGCUCAGGAUGAACGCUGGCGGCGUGCCUAAUACAUGCAAGUCGAACGCUUUGUGGUUCAACUGAUUUGAAGAGCUUGCUCAGAUAUGACGAUGGACAUUGCAAAGAGUGGCGAACGGGUGAGUAACACGUGGGAAACCUACCCCUUAGCAGGGGAUAACAUUUGGAAACAGAUGCUAAUACCGUAUAACAAUAGCAACCGCAUGGUUGCUACUUAAAAGAUGGUUCUGCUAUCACUAAGAGAUGGUCCCGCGGUGCAUUAGUUAGUUGGUGAGGUAAUGGCUCACCAAGACGAUGAUGCAUAGCCGAGUUGAGAGACUGAUCGGCCACAAUGGGACUGAGACACGGCCCAUACUCCUACGGGAGGCAGCAGUAGGGAAUCUUCCACAAUGGGCGAAAGCCUGAUGGAGCAACGCCGCGUGUGUGAUGAAGGGUUUCGGCUCGUAAAACACUGUUGUAAGAGAAGAAUGACAUUGAGAGUAACUGUUCAACGUGUGACGGUAUCUUACCAGAAAGGAACGGCUAAAUACGUGCCAGCAGCCGCGGUAAUACGUAUGUUCCAAGCGUUAUCCGGAUUUAUUGGGCGUAAAGCGAGCGCAGACGGUUAUUUAAGUCUGAAGUGAAAGCCCUCAGCUCAACUGAGGAAUUGCUUUGGAAACUGGAUGACUUGAGUGCAGUAGAGGAAAGUGGAACUCCAUGUGUAGCGGUGAAAUGCGUAGAUAUAUGGAAGAACACCAGUGGCGAAGGCGGCUUUCUGGACUGUAACUGACGUUGAGGCUCGAAAGUGUGGGUAGCAAACAGGGAUUAGAUACCCUGGUAGUCCCACCGUAAACGAUGAGUGCUA